AUUGAGACUUGUAUGAAAGGCAAAACGAGGUCUUAACUGUCUCCUGUAGGUAAUCUAUGAAAUUAGUAUUCCCGUGCAAAAACGAGAAUGUGAACAUAAGACGAGAAGACCCUGUGGAACUUUAAAAUCACGACCACCUUACAACCUUACACAGCCCCACUGGGUCCACCCACACAUAAACCCCUGGUCGACAUUUUUCGGUUGGGGCGACCUUGGAGAAAAAAAAAUCCUCCAAACCCACAGACCACAACUCUUCACUAAGACCAACUCCUCAAAGUACCAACAGUAACCAGACCCAAUAUAAUUGAGCAAUGGACCAAGCUACCCCAGGGAUAACAGCGCAAUCUCCUCCAAGAGCCCAUAUCGACAAGGAGGUUUACGACCUCGAUGUUGGAUCAGGACAACCUAAUGGUGCAACCGCUAUUAAGGGUUCGUUUGUUCAACGAUUAACAGUCCUACGUGAUCUGAGU
rnacentral:rRNA from 1 species